AUGAGGAAAGUGGAUCGGAGCUGUAAUACUGGUGCCUGGAGAAGUGUUUUACUCGCUCUCACCUCAUCUCCAGCUCUCACUCUGAACUACCUGCUUCUGUUUCCUCAAGACCACCGUUCACAAAGGUGUGGUUUUGCUGCGGGUCAUUGUCACACUGACAUCGUGUCUGCAGGUCAAUUACUGGCUGCGGAGCUCCGUCAGAUGGUUGUAGCACAACUACAACCCCAAUCACUCAGAAACCCAGACGCUGAACAUCUGCUGAACAUCCUGCUGUACACUGGAAACCAGAUUUUUCUUUUUCAUCAAGAGCACCGCUUGGAGACAACGGAUAACUUUGUCAGGAAUCUGUAGAGCUGGAAUCACACAUGACUGUUGCUGGGGCUGUUGAAUGCAAUUGCAUGUGAAUGAAAGCAAACUGAGCAAUAUGGAUACAGUGUCUCUGAACACCUCCUUGUUCUCUGGCAGUCAGAGCAUCAGUAUGGAUUCUCCCAAUUUGUCCAUGAGAUCCGUAGGCUUCACCAAUGACACGGAUUCGUCCCGCAGCAGCACACUCUUACACUGGAACUUCUUCCUGGCCGCCAACUACAUCAGUGUGG
rnacentral:lncRNA from 1 species